rnacentral:rRNA from 1 species
GGGGAAUAUUGGACAAUGGGCGAAAGCCUGAUCCAGCAAUGCCGCGUGUGUGAAGAAGGCCUUCGGGUUGUAAAGCACUUUCAGUAGUGAAGAAGGAUGUGUAGUUAAUACCUACAUAUUUUGACGUUAGCUACAGAAGAAGCACCGGCUAACUCUGUGCCAGCAGCCGCGGUAAUACAGAGGGUGCAAGCGUUAAUCGGAAUUACUGGGCGUAAAGGGUGUGUAGGUGGUUGGAUAAGUUAGAUGUGAAAUCCCCGGGCUUAACCUGGGAACUGCGUUUAAAACUGUUUAACUAGAGUGCUGUAGAGGAUAGUGGAAUUUCCAGUGUAGCGGUGAAAUGCGUAGAUAUUGGAAGGAACACCAGUGGCGAAGGCGACUAUCUGGACAGACACUGACACUGAGACACGAAAGCAUGGGGAGCAAAC